AUUAACAAAGCAAGUAACAAUUACAAGUGAAAAAUUAGCAGCACAGUUAGAAACAAGUAAAAUUAUGAAUAAGUAGAGACCUGGGACUAGCAGAUAGAUAUUUGUACAUCCAUGUUCCUAGAGGCAUUAUUCAUAUAGUAGCCAAAAGGUGGAAAUGACCCAAGUGUCUAUAGAUAGAUUAAUGGAUAAACAAAAUGUGGUAUAUACAUAGAGAGAAAUAUUACUCAGUCACAAAAAGAAAGGAAAUUGGACAUUUGCUACAGCACAAAUGAACCUUAAGGACAUGAUGUUAAGUCAAACAAGCCGGCCACAAACGGACAGCAUGGUAUGUAGAACUUUCCCGACCAGGAAUGAAACCCAUACCCCCUGCACUGGAAGCAUGGAGUCUUAACCACUGGACCACCAGGGAAGUCCUUGUUAUUGCUAAAUACGGCUUCAGAACCCUCUAUGGAACCCAGCAGAUUCCAGCUGAAGGUCUAGAGUUGGUGCCAGAGGAGCCAUCCCCAACUCAUGACGCUGGUAUCCGACCUGUGACCUUCACCAGCUGGAGAUAGCAGCACCUUUCUAGGGUAGCAGUGUGAUGGCCCACAGCCCAUGGGAGUUAGGGCAAGGGAUCUGGGGAUCCACACUCUUGCCAUUGGUACAUCAUGUCCGGCACAGGGCUGCUUGGUGAUGGUGUGAUCAAAGAAAUAAUUCUUCAAUCAGACAGCAAAAGCUGGCCACUCUUCCUCUAGCCUAUUCCUGAGAGAAAUUCUCGGUCACACGCACCAAGAGAUGCAGCAGCGGUACUGCUGCGAUAACCCAAAGCUGGAAACAACCUGAAUGUCCAUCAGUGGUAGAACGGAUAAGUCAGUUGUGGUACCCACCACCCACACAGUGGAAUGUACAGUGGUGGAAUGGAUAGACCACAGGUAUGCAUUUCUGCCCGGAUGAUGGGAGCAUGAGACUGAGUAAACAAAAAGAGGUGCAGAGAAACACACGGCCUGUUACUCCACUUACAUGAAGCUCAACUAUGUGUCUGUUUAGGGAUACAAACAUGUGUGUUAAAACUCUCCAGAAAAGCAAAGAAAUGAUGAACAAUGAUGAUAUUUCUAGCAAGUAGUGAUUUCUGUGUGGGUAGGGCACAAAGGAAACUUCAAAAUAACAGUGUUCUCUUUCUUAAGUUGAAUGGUAGGCAUAUGAGUUUUCCUGGAAUCACUUAUUCUCUAUAUCUUAUACAUAUGUUGUGAAAGUCUUAGUAACUCAUUUUACAAAACUACUAUUUUUAAAAGCUGCCUGAUUAUGAGAGAGAACUUCAUAUAGAAUCAUUCAUGCCUCAAACUGAAGGGAUUGAAAAUCUUCAAUGGAAGGAAGAUCCAAAGGGUUAUGGUUCCAGAGCUUUUUCCUGUCCUCACACAGUCCCAGGUUUGAUAUUUCCAGGGUACACUUGACUCUUGACUCUGCUACUGUCUCUCACCUAAGAUGGAUUCUGGGUUAAACAUGGUCUGGGGGCUGCUGAGUGUACUUAACCCCUUCCCUUUCUUAGAAGUGACCAAAACACAGCA